UUAUUUUAUAUCUAUUAUAAUAAAAGAAAAAUGAAAAGAAUUAAAGGAAAAUGGGGAAGAAAGGAAACUUACCAUUUCCUCUUGAUAGUGGCUUUAUGGGAAUGAGAAUUUAAAAAGGGGAUUAAGAAGAGAUUAGGCCAUUUGGCCGUGACCUAGAGAGGAGAUAGAGAGAGAGGGAGGCGAGCUAGAGAGAGAGAAAGCAAGGGCUGCCAUAUUUUUCUAGAGAAGAAAAAGAAGAAAAGAAAGAGAAGGAGAAGAAGAAGAGGGUUUCGAACCCUAGGUGACAAGAGGUUUUCUUGCUAUUGUGUUCUUGAUUUUACAAUCAAGAGAGGUAGCAAAUAGGAUUUCUGUAUGGCAUGCGUGGUGACGUGAGGAGUUCUUUCAUCAUGGGGUGUAUGGCGUGGGGUAAUCCUAUGGACGGAAAAACGAUUAACGUAGAACGCCAUUUAAAUUAUGUUUUAUUUUUAAGAGACUUUCCUAAAUUAUCAGUGGGACUCAGUUAUUUAAUUUUUGGUUUCUUUGGACAUUGCAUAAAAAUCUAUGUUUUAUUUUAAAACUUAUGGCGCCAACUUGCAUGGUUUUAAACAAGUCCCCCUGAGACUUUGAUAAUGAAUGUUAUUCUUUUAUAAACUAUGUUAUGCGAAUGUUUUGUAAGUAUUAGUCUAGGGCGUUCUUUACAAUCCCGCCAUGGAAUUCAUCUUUCAAAGAAGAAUUCUCCCAAGACUCUUGAAGAGGAAGAUGCAAUAGAAAAUUUCCU